AGCACUGACUCAGUUACUAUGCCCUGUUGCAAGGGCUGAGAGAAAUGAGGAGGGGAGGGAGAGGUAGAGAGACUUGGAUGCGUGUGAUGCAAACGUAGGCUUUAAUAAUUGUGUUCACAGAAGUUAAUUCAUAAUACAUUUUGUGGCAAAGGCAGCCCGAUACCUAUAACCUGAAUUUUGCAGAUUUAACGCAGAAUUCCGCAAGGUUGAACUACACAGGUGUUUCCUUUCCGCGCGGUAAAGUAUUAUGGGGGGGGGGGGUUAUAUUAUGUGCAAGUUGAGCGGUUUAUCCACUGACACCUUAGAAGGGGCCACAUGGUGACAAGGUAAAUCCCACCAUAAUAGCUUUUUAUUUUCAAACAGACCAAAGUGAGUGGCAAAAUGGCAUAUUUAGUUCCAGGGAGCCAGUCGGUGAGUCCCUCGAAGUGAAUGGAAAAAAAAUCAGGCGAAUAAUGAUUUAACCAGUGGGCAUUGAGUCGAGGAAAAGCAAAGUCCUUACAGAAAUAUCCUGUUCCUCACCCUCCCUCUAAUGUGCACUAGUUUCGGGCAAGGCCCGCCCUCUCCCAAUGGACACUCUUUAACUAUUAUUUGGCCGCUUUGUAAACUCCGUAUCUAGCCAGCCUGUAUGUUUGUUAUUGUUUCCAUUGCUUCAGCAAUUAAAUAUGGAGAGUGUCUUAUUUUCCUCCCUGGUAUUAAGGGUGCUGAAUCACUGAGCCAAGGGCGCUUGAGUUAGCAGGAAAAGAGCGAGGUCAGAGCAGAGAGCGGCUAACAAAACACAUUGCAAUUGCAGCGUGUGCUGGGGGGAGGGGGCGCUAGUCCCUGUCCCUUAACCCCCUCUCUCCCGUAAUGAUUCAUGAUGAGGGAAACUUCAAAGCUUCUAAUGAAACAAGACUUGAGUCACCGAAAUCUUAAACGUCACAGCAAGGCUCUCAAUACAGAUCAGGUGUUGCAGACUGAACCCCCACAUGCAGCUGAAUUUGCACAGUGGCGUAAAGACGGGAAGCACUAAUAAUUAUCUGGACAAUUACCCAUAUGCGCAGUGACUGACAGCACUGUAGCACUCCUCUUUCCGACUCACCCUAGAACCCCAAGCCAUUAUACACAUACACUGUAUCAUCCAGUUUCUAUCAAAGCUUGACUCUAUAGCCCCCUAACAGAGGUUAAUACACUAUCCCUGUAUCGACGGUGGAUGCUUAGUAAAUCAUGUGAUUCCAAAUGUAAACCGGCCUUUGGUGCAGUCAAGACAGUGCUUGCUUUUAUUACAGUUGCACAAUUCGCCCACCCCCGGAUGUUUAAUAAUGUAUCGCUGUUGUUUCAGCAAAGGGCUACCUGAAGCUUCCAUUCUUUAUUUCAGUCACAGUUUAACGGGUUCCAAGCACCUAGGACUUUGCCCAGAUUUUAUCUCUGGGUACUGGUGGUUGUGUGCAAAUAACAUUGCAGCUCAAUGAGUCACGGGCUCUUUGUCAAGCAGACUUUUUUUCUGUUUACAGUAAGACAUUCUACCCAGUAUAUUUAUAUUCGCGGCUCUGUGAAUCACCGGGUACCUAACAUCUAAAAGGUCUGGGAAAAAUCUCAAAUCCACAUUCCAUCGAUCGCUAGAAGCUUUCCCCCCUCAAGGUCUUCCAUGCUGAGCAUGAUAACGCAAUGCUUGUUUACGUGAGCCAGAGGAUGGGUGGGGGAGCGGUGUUUUAGAGAAGGUGGCAGAUUGCCAAUGCUGCUGGGGUUUGGGUCUGAGCAUGCGCAGUUUUUAUAUGACUGCGUGCCUGUGGCACUGGGAGUCUGACAUUCCAAGGAGAGCGAGAAUGUCAGUGCUGCGUCACCACUCUCACUGCUAAUAGCAGCUAUCAUUUCUGUAGCGCGGAGCCAUCCAAAUAUAGCAUGCGCUCUGCUGGGAGCUUUAUAUAACCUGGCCUGCUUUGGAUCACGUGGCAAACAAACAAAAAACAUUAUUGUUAUUGAUUGCCCUCAGUUAUUUACCGAAACUAGUAUGAAACAUUAAUGCGAAAAAACCCGAAUACAUUUGUGUCCUAAAUUCUAUUCCCGCGGGGCCGUUGCUUUCUGCACUAGCGCUAACUUGUUCCAAUUGUGGCUUGUAAAAGGUUAGCCGGAUUCCAGGAAUAUACGAUGUGCAGCUUUUCUCUUCUAGUACUUGGGCGUGUUACGUUUUCUUUUCGUAUUUCAACACGCUGGGGAGUUAAUAUAUUUCUUUUCAAUGGAGCCGAAGUUUCAACAUGUUGUGGGUGGAUUGUUGUUAUAUAAGUAAGCAAAUAGCAAUAUUUAUAUUGCGGAAGUUGGAACCUGUGCCAGGUUAUGUUUCUCAUGUCUGGGAUCGAUGAGAGAAAAAAAUAUCUAAACUGCGCGUUACAAAGAGCCGAUUGUAUUGUAGGUGCGACAGCAGGAUUGUGUUUCUGCUGACGUAUCAGCGACAUGAAAUGCUUGCCUGCAAGGGGUAAGAAAAAACAAUAUCUCCUGUUACACAAGGGAUUUUUUUAUGUUGCCGUUCUCUAGACAUUUCGCUGACUAGUACUGCAUCUGGAUAUGUCCUUGGGAAUUUCCAGAAAAGUAAAUAUCCUGCUCCCCUUCGGCUCAGGUUUCAAGCACUGACACAUUUCAACGUCCAAAGUUCUAGUGGAUGUGUUAACCAAUGCACGCAUCGAGUUCAUGCUUGCUGCUAGUUACACAAUUUAAGCACAUUUCUGUGAGGAUUUUGAAAGCCGUGUAUUAUUCACAGGUCUGGUAACAAGAUCGUUUUUUUAGUUCCCCCUUGCCAUCACUGAAGUCUGCAAUAUUUAUCUGCAAUUAUUUUCAAUGAAGUGACCUGAAACAUGUCCUAUUAUUUAGUAACAUCUCAUAUUCUUUCCUUAGUGUUCAGUGGGGAUCAAUGUUCAUGCUCUGAACCUGCACAUAACACACUCAAAAACAAAUUGUGGUACACACAAAGAAUUGAGUGGGAAAAUAAACUAUUUUGUGUUACAGAGGAGUUUCAUGACAUAUAAAAACACGACGCCGUGGAAGAGGUCAUGGAAAUCCGAGUCACAGCAAGAAGAGAUUGGAAUCCUUCCAAUGAGGUCGCUGAGCUGCCUUUAUGAGAAAAGCUCCUGGAUGAGAGUGUCUUUCAGAGGGCAGGACUGGCAACUUGAAUUGCAAAGAGUAUUCUUGAACUGCAAACGUCAGCAAGACCAGAGCCAAGUAUUGUGGGAACAUCCUACUAAUGUUACAUGUUGAACAAGGAGAUUCAAACAGAAUAUGCUAGCUGAACUGUCUGGACAGUACAAAAUAAUACACCUGUUUGCAAAAGGUACAGCAAAUACAGUAUUUGACACCAAAUCUGAAUAUGAGGCAGUACAUAGCAGCAGACAGAUGCUGAAUAGUUGGAGUCAUUUGUAUAUGUUUGUAUACUCUGCACUUACAUUAAAAGCUGGUCAAGGUAUGGGGACUCUUUAUUGCCACACUUAUGGGGGUAUUUACUAAGUAUCAAAUUUGUCUAAUUUUUUUAUUAGAAGAAAGUGGACCUAACUCCCAUCAACAUAUUUAACUAAUUUAUCAAAAAAAAAUCGAAUUGAAAAAGUCACUGUAGAAAAAGUCUCAAAAAAAUUGUGCGACAAUUCGAAUCUCGCAACUUUUCAAAGUUUUAUGCUUGACUCACCAGAUAACCUUGACUUUUUUGGAUUAUCAAACGAAAACCAGUGCAGAUCACGAUGUCAAGAAACAUCUUCAAAUUGUAAAAAGGACAAUCUGCCAUUGACUUCUACAUGACUUUGACAGGUUUUAGCUGUAUUCGGAUUUCGGAUUUGGAUUGUUUUUAACUUCGGGGUAUAAUAAAUCUCAAAAUUCGUUUUUUUUUUCCUCUAAAAAAUUGAGGUUUUCCCCUUUAAAAAACUGACCAGAGAAAUAUGAGGUUUUCCCCUUUAACUCCAAGAAAUACAUGCUGCAGCACUCGGAAUCCUCUGAAUUCUGCUUAAUUGAUAAUGACAUAAUGAAGGAAUUGCCCACACCUGCCCAUGAAAUAGCCUUUCAGUCAAUAAUCCAAUACUUUUGAGCCCCUGAAAUAAAGUGACUGUGUUAAAAAAAAAAGCU